rnacentral:rRNA from 1 species
UACGAAGGUCCCGAGCGUUAUCCGGAUUUAUUGGGUUUAAAGGGUGCGUAGGCGGGUUAUUAAGUCAGUGGUGAAAGCCUUCAGCUCAACUGAAGAAUUGCCAUUGAUACUGAUGAUCUUGAGUAUGAUUGAGGUGGGCGGAAUGUGUCAUGUAGCGGUGAAAUGCUUAGAUAUGACACAGAACACCGAUUGCGAAGGCAGCUCACUAAGUCAUAACUGACGCUGAUGCACGAAAGCGUGGGGAGCAAACAGG